rnacentral:rRNA from 1 species
CCUACGGGAGGCAGCAGUGAGGAAUAUUGGUCAAUGGACGCGAGUCUGAACCAGCCAAGCAGCGUGAAGGAUGACUGCUCUAUGGGUUGUAAACUUCUUUUAUAAAGGAGUAAAACGAGACACGUGUGCCUGUUUGCAUGUACUUUAUGAAUAAGGAUCGGCUAACUCCGUGCCAGCAGCCGCGGUAAUACGGAGGAUCCGAGCGUUAUCCGGAUUUAUUGGGUUUAAAGGGAGCGUAGAUGGUUUGUUAAGUUAGAUGUGAAAGUUUGCGGCUCAACCGUAAAAUUGCAAUUGAUACUGGCAGUCUUGAGUACAGUUGAGGUAGGCGGAAUGUGUGGUGUAGCGGUGAAAUGCUUAGAGAUCACGAAGAACCCCGAUUGCGAAGGCAGCUUACUAAACUGUGACUGACAUUGAUGCUCGAAAGUGUGGGUAGCAAACAGGAUUAGAUACCCGGGUAGUC